UACGAAUGGGGCUAGCGUUGCUCGGAAUUACUGGGCGUAAAGGGCGCGUAGGCGGCUUGUAUAGUCGGAUGUGAAAUUCCUGGGCUUAACCUGGGGGCUGCAUACGAGACGUAUGGGCUUGAGUGCGGUAGGGGAGACUGGAAUUCCUGGUGUAGCGGUGAAAUGCGCAGAUAUCAGGAGGAACACCGGUGGCGAAGGCGGGUCUCUGGGCCGUAACUGACGCUGAGGAGCGAAAGCGUGGGGAGCGAACAGG
rnacentral:rRNA from 1 species